GCCGUGGUGGUUCAGUGGUAGAAUUCUCGCUUCCCAUGUGGGAGACUCAGGUUUGACUCCUGACCAAUGCG
rnacentral:tRNA from 1 species